UACAGAGGUCCCAAGCGUUGUUCGGAUUUACUGGGCGUAAAGGGCGCGUAGGCGGUCGGGCAAGUCUGAUGUGAAAUCUCCGAGCUUAACUCGGAAAAUGCAUUGGAUACUAUUCGGCUGGAGAGUUGGAGGGGGGACUGGAAUACUUGGUGUAGCAGUGAAAUGCGUAGAUAUCAAGUGGAACACCAGUGGCGAAGGCGAGUCCCUGGACAACUUCUGACGCUGAGGCACGAAAGCUAGGGGAGCAAACAGG
rnacentral:rRNA from 1 species